CGGACACAUUCCGAACCCGGAAGCUAAGACUCGCAGCGCCGAUGGUACUGCAGGGGCGACCCUGUGGGAGAGUAGGACACCGCCGGAC
rnacentral:rRNA from 2 species